rnacentral:rRNA from 2 species
CUGGUAUUGAUUGGUGCUUGCAUCAUGAUUUACAUUUGAGUGAGUGGCGAACUGGUGAGUAACACGUGGGAAACCUGCCCAGAAGCGGGGGAUAACACCUGGAAACAGAUGCUAAUACCGCAUAACAACUUGGACCGCAUGGUCCGAGCUUGAAAGAUGGCUUCGGCUAUCACUUUUGGAUGGUCCCGCGGCGUAUUAGCUAGAUGGUGGGGUAACGGCUCACCAUGGCAAUGAUACGUAGCCGACCUGAGAGGGUAAUCGGCCACAUUGGGACUGAGACACGGCCCAAACUCCUACGGGAGGCAGCAGUAGGGAAUCUUCCACAAUGGACGAAAGUCUGAUGGAGCAACGCCGCGUGAGUGAAGAAGGGUUUCGGCUCGUAAAACUCUGUUGUUAAAGAAGAACAUAUCUGAGAGUAACUGUUCAGGUAUUGACGGUAUUUAACCAGAAAGCCACGGCUAACUACGUGCCAGCAGCCGCGGUAAUACGUAGGUGGCAAGCGUUGUCCGGAUUUAUUGGGCGUAAAGCGAGCGCAGGCGGUUUUUUAAGUCUGAUGUGAAAGCCUUCGGCUCAACCGAAGAAGUGCAUCGGAAACUGGGAAACUUGAGUGCAGAAGAGGACAGUGGAACUCCAUGUGUAGCGGUGAAAUGCGUAGAUAUAUGGAAGAACACCAGUGGCGAAGGCGGCUGUCUGGUCUGUAACUGACGCUGAGGCUCGAAAGUAUGGGUAGCAAACAGGAUUAGAUACCCUGGUAGUCCAUACCGUAAACGAUGAAUGCUAAGUGUUGGAGGGUUUCCGCCCUUCAGUGCUGCAGCUAACGCAUUAAGCAUUCCGCCUGGGGAGUACGGCCGCAAGGCUGAAACUCAAAGGAAUUGACGGGGGCCCGCACAAGCGGUGGAGCAUGUGGUUUAAUUCGAAGCUACGCGAAGAACCUUACCAGGUCUUGACAUACUAUGCAAAUCUAAGAGAUUAGACGUUCCCUUCGGGGACAUGGAUACAGGUGGUGCAUGGUUGUCGUCAGCUCGUGUCGUGAGAUGUUGGGUUAAGUCCCGCAACGAGCGCAACCCUUAUUAUCAGUUGCCAGCAUUAAGUUGGGCACUCUGGUGAGACUGCCGGUGACAAACCGGAGGAAGGUGGGGAUGACGUCAAAUCAUCAUGCCCCUUAUGACCUGGGCUACACACGUGCUACAAUGGAUGGUACAACGAGUUGCGAACUCGCGAGAGUAAGCUAAUCUCUUAAAGCCAUUCUCAGUUCGGAUUGUAGGCUGCAACUCGCCUACAUGAAGUCGGAAUCGCUAGUAAUCGCGGAUCAGCAUGCCGCGGUGAAUACGUUCCCGGGCCUUGUACACACCGCCCGUCACACCAUGAGAGUUUGUAACACCCAAAGUCGGUGGGGUAACCUUUUAGGAACCAGCCGCCUAAGGGUGAU